UACGGAGGAUGCGAGCGUUAUCCGGAUUUAUUGGGUUUAAAGGGUGCGCAGGCGGUCCGUUAAGUCAGCGGUAAAAUUGCGGGGCUCAACCCCGUCGAGCCGUUGAAACUGGCAGACUUGAGUUGGCGAGAAGUACGCGGAAUGCGCGGUGUAGCGGUGAAAUGCAUAGAUAUCGCGCAGAACUCCGAUUGCGAAGGCAGCGUACCGGCGCCAGACUGACGCUGAGGCACGAAAGCGUGGGGAUCGAACAGG
rnacentral:rRNA from 1 species